rnacentral:rRNA from 1 species
ACCCGACUGCUAUCGGAUUGAGAUUUAGCCAUGCGAGUCGAACGUCCCCCUGUUGCGGGGGGCGUGGCGUACGGCUCAGUAACACGUAGUCAACCUGCCCUGGAGACAAGGACAACCCCGGGAAACUGGGAUUAAUCCUUGAUAGGUCAUCUCAUCUGGAAGGAGAGAUGGCUUAAAGGGGUGCGCGGGCUUCUUCCGCGUAUUCGCUCCAGGAUGGGACUGCGACCGAUCAGGCUGUUGGCGGGGUAAUGGCCCACCAAACCUGUAACCGGUACGGGCCUUGAGAGAGGUGGCCCGGAGAUGGACACUGAGAGAAGGGUCCAGGUCCUACGGGGCGCAGCAGGCGCGAAACCUUCGCAAUGCGCGAAAGCGUGACGAGGUUAAUCCGAGUGACUCCCGCUGAGGGGGUCUUUUGUCAGCUGUAAAUAGGCAGGCGAAUAAGGGGAGGGCAAGCCUGGUGUCAGCCGCCGCGGUAAUACCAGCUCCUCGGGUGGUCGGGACGAUUAUUGGGCCUAAAGCAUCCGUAGCCGGUUCCGUAGGUCUUCUGUUAAAUCCAACCGCUUAACGGUUGACCUGCAGAGGAUACCGCGGGACUAGGAGGCGGGAGAGGCGGACGGUACUCCGCGUGUAGGGGUAAAAUCCUUUGAUCCGCGGAAGACCACCAGUGGCGAAGGCGGUCCGCCAGAACGCGCUCGACGGUGAGGGAUGAAAGCUGGGGGAGCGAACCGGAUUAGAUACCCGGGUAGUCCCAGCCGUAAACGAUGCUAGCUAGAUGAUUCAUUCGCAAGUCGCGAAUGAAGUGUCGCAGGGAAGCCGUUAGCUAGCCGCCUGGGGAGUACGGUCGCAGACUGAAACUUAA